rnacentral:rRNA from 1 species
UACGUAGGGUGCGAGCGUUGUCCGGAAUUACUGGGCGUAAAGAGCUCGUAGGUGGUUUGUCGCGUUGUUCGUGAAAACUCACAACUCAAUUGUGGGCGUGCGGGCGAUACGGGCAGACUGGAGUACUGCAGGGGAGACUGGAAUUCCUGGUGUAGCGGUGGAAUGCGCAGAUAUCAGGAGGAACACCGGUGGCGAAGGCGGGUCUCUGGGCCGUAACUGACGCUGAGGAGCGAAAGCAUGGGGAGCGAACAGGA